UACGAAGGGGGCGAGCGUUGUUCGGAUUUACUGGGCGUAAAGGGCUCGUAGGCGGCCAACUAAGUCAGACGUGAAAUCCCUCGGCUUAACCGGGGAACUGCGUCUGAUACUGGUUGGCUUGAAUCCGGGAGAGGGAUGUGGAAUUCCAGGUGUAGCGGUGAAAUGCGUAGAUAUCUGGAGGAACACCGGUGGCGAAGGCGGCAUCCUGGACCGGUAUUGACGCUGAGGAGCGAAAGCCAGGGGAGCAAACGGG
rnacentral:rRNA from 1 species